AGCCCAAUAGAAGUCUUAAUUUAUUUCUUAACCUUUGCUAUGUAAGGGUGUUUAGGGUUUUUAACUUUAUUUCUCCUUCAUGCU
rfam:Fukomys damarensis contig79431, whole genome shotgun sequence.